UAGUGAGUUUUCAAGCUACUAGUGUGUUCUGUUUUUAACAAGAUGGUUUGAUUUGUUUUUUCGUAUGUAGAUGAUUGGUUUGGAACUUGCAGUUGCAGGUUAAAAUUGCAGGGAAUGUUUAGAGGGAUGUAGUAGAAUCACCCAAAGUUGAUUGUUUCGACUCUGUUCGGUUGUGUCUACUGGGGAAGGAUCAAGAACUUAGAAGACCCUUCAAAGAAAAUCGAAGUUGCGGUUAAACAGCUCGGCAAAAGAGGGUUGCAGCUUUCUCCUCAAUGAUAGGGAAUCUCACUGAUAAUCACGGUUCUUCAAAUUGUCCGCGUACCAAAUCUUAAGGGUGGGUUUGUUCUUCUCAGCUGUGCCUUCAUGUAUGACAUCUUCUGGGUUCUUGUUUCAAAAUGGUGGUUCCGUGAAAGCGUGAUGAUUGUGGUAAGUUCCUCCUGCAUUUUCUUUAUAUUUUUGCUUUAGAAAACCAUUUUCAUUCAUACAAGACUAUGCGUGAUGAUCUUCUGUUCACGCCAAUAGAUCGUCAUCAUAUACCAUAAUCUUGAGAUAUAUAUAAUGAAAGUCCCAUACUGGCCAAAGGAAUAGAGGAUGGACUUAGAUACUUGUCUGUACAUUCGUAUAUAAACCCUAUAAUACCUCAUCUUUUUACUCAAGCUCUGUAUCAUUUUCUUCUCGCAAUAUGCAUUUUUUUUUGGUACAAAGAAAAGAGAAAAAUAAAUAAAUAAAUAAGCAAAAUGGUUGUCUUUCUUGAGCUGAUAUGAAUGUUUUUUCUUACA